ensembl:lncRNA
UGUCCACGCACAUACAUCGACCAAAGUGAGAGCAAGAGCACACCAAUCAAUGUGCUUCACUCGGCAGCGCUGCACUGGACUCGCUCGUGAAGAAUGUCUCCAAAGAAGUGUGUUUUUGUUUGUAAGGUAAAGAUAACUUUGUUCAGCUUCCAGAAGAACCCAGAGUUACAUAAACAGUGUAUGUAGUUUGUUUUUUCGGGGCAGCAACGAGUUUCGCAAGUGUGUUUGUUGAUGAACGUUUUAUAAACAAGGCCCAGUUCGACGCUGGAUUUGCAAAUCGUUUGAUACUGAAAGAUGGAGCGGUCCCAGCUAUAAAAGAUCCCGUUCAUGAUUCAGAACUGCAGAAACCAACACCAUGUUGUGGAGACACUGUGUGUUUCGUUGUAAAAGCAAUGAAACUCACAGAGGUCAGAUUUGCGCAUGCAUCGCUCAGAAGUGAGAGAACAAUGGUCAAGAAUUAGAAGUACAAACGAGAAUUUGUAAAAAAAGAAGUCAGAGGAUUUCGAUAUAAGCCAAGAGUAGACUUUGCUACAGUAAGGAAACUUUGCUUCCUUUGCUCCUGUUAACAAACAUUGGUUUUCACGAGACUCACCGGCACAUCAUGCUUCCAGAACUGCUUCUGUGUACAACUGCUGGCGCAAGCUAGAUUCAAGUGAUUAUUAUGUUUGGAAUAUGGAUAUUUUUCUUACAAAAAUGCAUUGAUUCACUACAGGAACCCUUUGUUUAAGCAGUGUGAGAAAAUUUUUUUUAUGGAUGGGCUGUUUUUAUUUAAAAUCUUUUGGAAUGAAGCAAUGCUACACCCGCUGACUUCAAUGAUAGAGGUUGAAAGAUCAAAGAAAAUUUUUAAUUUAACUCCGACUGGAUUCGUCUGAACGAUGAAAGUCAUAUACACCUAGGAUGUCUCUGGGGUGAGUAAAACUAAAUUUUCAUUUUUGGGUGAACUAACCCUUUAAACCACAUACAUUGCUUUACACCAAAUUCACAAAAUAAUGUUAUUUUUAGCAACAUCAUAUGACCUCCUUCAUAGAUUUGAACUAUACUUAUUAUGAAAUAAAUUUAUUUUAAAUAAAUUACUUUUUUUUUUU